rnacentral:misc_RNA from 1 species
UUACAGCAGCCCGACUUGAGUGGAAAUCCUUUUUUUUGUGGCCGGAAAAGCUUUGGUAAAAAAGAUUGGGAACGGAAGGCGGAAAAGCUG